AGUGAACGCUGGCGGUAGGCCUAACACAUGCAAGUCGAACGGCAGCACAGUAAGAGCUUGCUCUUACGGGUGGCGAGUGGCGGACGGGUGAGGAAUACAUCGGAAUCUACUUUUUCGUGGGGGUUAACGUAGGGAAACUUACGCUAAUACCGCAUACGACCUACGGGUGAAAGCAGGAGAUCUUCGGACCUUGCGCGAUUGAAAGAGCCGAUGUCGGAUUAGCUAGUUGGCGGGGUAAAGGCCCACCAAGGCGACGAUCCGUAGCUGGUCUGAGAGGAUGAUCAGCCACACUGGAACUGAGACACGGUCCAGACUCCUACGGGAGGCAGCAGUGGGGAAUAUUGGACAAUGGGCGCAAGCCUGAUCCAGCCAUACCGCGUGGGUGAAGAAGGCCUUCGGGUUGUAAAGCCCUUUUGUUGGGAAAGAAAAGCAGCAGGUUAAUACCCCGCUGUUCUGACGGUACCCAAAGAAUAAGCACCGGCUAACUUCGUG
rnacentral:rRNA from 1 species